CAGGCCUGCACAGGGGACUUCUGCACAGGCCUGACUCCCAGGCCUGACAUUUUCUGGUCUGUCUUCGCCAUGGUCUGCUAUCAACUGCAGUUUUGAAUUCUGGUUUCUCUUAUUCUUUGUCUCUAGGCAAGUCAACAGGUUCAGCAGCCAGAGUCCUAUCCUGUACUUCUCUUCACGUUGCAGACAUCCACGAAAGAGUGAGACUGUUUUCGGUUGGAUUGAAGAGCAAAUGUGUGGAAGGCACCAAGGUUUGUGUGUAAAUGUGGUGAGUGGGGCCAAGGAGAACUUCUGCACUUCU
rnacentral:lncRNA from 1 species